CCACAAGCAACAUCGCUUUUGGUCAGUCACAAAUGUUCGUAGUAGGAUGAGGUUUGAUGUUCUGUAGGAUGUAUGGAUAGGCUGACUAUUGGGUUAUGACAGUGAGUUCGAAACAAUAUUCAGAUUCAGAAAUAUUAAAAGUUAAAGAUUCAAAGACACAAAGUAACGAACGAGGAAUAUUACAACGUUUUGAAACACUGCUUGAAAGGUGGCAGGACAAUUUAUAAUUGCACCGAAGAAAUCGUCGAGAUCCAGGUUUUCAUCAAUGAGCGAGAUGGAGGCCUAUUAUGUC